rnacentral:rRNA from 1 species
CCUACGGGGGGCUGCAGUGAGGAAUAUUGGUCAAUGGGCGGGAGCCUGAACCAGCCAAGUCGCGUGAGGGAAGACGGUCCUAUGGAUUGUAAACCUCUUUUGUCAGGGAGCAAAGGGCGCCACGUGUGGCGCUUUGCGAGUACCUGAAGAAAAAGCAUCGGCUAACUCCGUGCCAGCAGCCGCGGUAAUACGGAGGAUGCGAGCGUUAUCCGGAUUUAUUGGGUUUAAAGGGUGCGCAGGCGGAAUGUCAAGUCAGCGGUAAAAUUUCGGGGCUCAACCCCGUCGUGCCGUUGAAACUGGCGUUCUUGAGUGAGCGAGAAGUAUGCGGAAUGCGUGGUGUAGCGGUGAAAUGCAUAGAUAUCACGCAGAACUCCGAUUGCGAAGGCAGCAUACCGGCGCUCAACUGACGCUCAUGCACGAAAGCGUGGGUAUCGAACAGGAUUAGAUACCCGAGUAGUC